rnacentral:rRNA from 1 species
UACAGAGGUCUCAAGCGUUGUUCGGAAUUACUGGGCGUAAAGCGCACGUAGGCGGAUUGUUAAGUCGGGGGUGAAAUCCUGAGGCUCAACCUCAGAACUGCCUUCGAUACUGGCGAUCUUGAGUUCGGAAGAGGUUGGUGGAACAGCUAGUGUAGAGGUGAAAUUCGUAGAUAUUAGCUAGAACACCAGUGGCGAAGGCGGCCAACUGGUCCGAUACUGACGCUGAGGUGCGAAAGCGUGGGGAGCAAACAGG